GACGAACGCUGGCGGCGUGCUUCACACAUGCAAGUCGAACGAAGUGGCGAAGGGGUGAGUAACGCGUAAUCAAACUGCCCUUCAGAGGGGGAACACAGUUGGAAACGACUGCUAAUACCGCAUACUGAAGGAGGGGAAUUCGUCUGAUUAGCUAGUUGGCGGGGUAACGGCCAACCAAGGCGAUGAUCAGUAGCCGGUCUGAGAGGAUGACCGGCCACAUUGGGACUGAGACACGGCCCAGACUCCUACGGGAGGCAGCAGUGGGGAAUCUUCCGCAAUGGACGAAAGUCUGACGGAGCAACGCCGCGUGAGUGAUGACGGCCUUCGGGUUGUAAAGCUCUGUUAAUCGGGACGCGGUACCGGAAUAGAAAGCCACGGCUAACUACGUGCCAGCAGCCGCGGUAAUAC
rnacentral:rRNA from 1 species